rnacentral:rRNA from 1 species
UACGGAGGAUGCGAGCGUUAUCCGGAUUCAUUGGGUUAAAAGGGUGCGUAGGCGGCUGUUCAAGUCAGCGGUAAAAUACAAGGGCCUAACCCUCGACGUGCCGUUGAAACUGAGUGGCUAGAAUGCGGAUGCUGUGGGAGGAAUGUGUAGUGUAGCGGUGAAAUGCAUAGAUAUUACACAGAACACCGAUUGCGAAGGCAUCUCACAAAUCCGCUAUUGACGCUGAGGCACGAAAGUGCGGGGAUCAAAC